UUCGUACUGUUCCUAUCUGAUGUGUUUGAUAAUGAAAGAGACUUGGAGAUGGAGAUCUGGAGCCGCGAGAGAGAUUUGGAGAUGAAACAAUUCAUAUCGUUCCACCUCUCCCGCUGAACCACUACCAUCAUACAAAUACAAUGAUGCACGCAAUAAUCGCUAACCGUUCUGAGGCGUCCCUUACUGUUCUGCCUCAAUGCCCUAAGCACAAUCUCUCUUUCAUAUCGUGGUCCUUGACUAUAUGGAUCUUGGAUGGAAUCUGAGCUUCAACGAGAGGCUAAGAGAGAUUGGUGGCCUUGAUGCUGGUGAAAUUGUUGAAGUCGUUUUUGAGUUUUUGUUGAGAAUCUUGGGGUGAGUCAUUGGGAUCGAUGAGGGAGAGGUUGAUGGCACCCUAAUCAGCGACGUAGAGGACAGAGGUGUGGAAGACAUGGAGGAGGACACAGUGAUUAGUCUAGUUAGCACAGCGAGUCAUUUGGAGGUGAACCUUCCAUUGAAUGCAUCAGCUUGGAGUGAAGAGGACCUCAAAGUCCAAAAAAAUUAUAUGAGAUGACAGUUCUUAAUGCCCAAAGAGAAACUGCUGAUAAAAUCUUGGAAGCAUAGUGGGAAACAAAGUGGCGUCAAGAAAAGUUGAAUGAAAUGUUGGAAGAGAAGGCGCGACCAUACAUUCAGAACAUGGACAAUGGUGUCAUUUCUCCGCCUAUAGUAAUGCUAUGGUGUCAUUCACAUUUUCAUUUUGGAUUUAUUAAUUUUAUGUAUAUGUCAUAUCUAUAUGGUAAUUCAAACAUUUUAUACUAAUAACAAUCAAUGCGGUUAUUCAUUUUCUAUUGAUACAGGAGAUGAAGAGUCAAUGUGAUGAGAAAAAGUCUGAGUUUAUUUUUUGUAAGACUAGAACAGUCUCUACAAAUAGUAAGUUUAUUCAUAUGCUUCUAGUGGUUUCUGAAUUAAUUUGUGUUUUCAUUUUUCAGAUCAAAAAUUUCUUAGAGAGAUACAAAAUAUGAUCAAAGAAUUCAAGAACUUAGUGUUUUCAAGUUUUUCAU